rnacentral:rRNA from 1 species
GACGAACGCUGGCGGCGUGCCUAAUACAUGCAAGUAGAACGCACAGUUUAUACCGUAGCUUGCUACACCAUAAACUGUGAGUUGCGAACGGGUGUGUAACGCGUAGGUAACCUGCCUGGUAGCGGGGGAUAACUAUUGGAAACGAUAGCUAAUACCGCAUAAUAUUGAUUAUUGCAUGAUAAUUGAUUGAAAGAUGCUAUUGCAUCACUACCAGAUGGACCUGCGUUGUAUUAGCUAGUAGGUGAGGUAACGGCUCACCUAGGCGACGAUACAUAGCCGACCUGAGAGGGUGAUCGGCCACACUGGGACUGAGACACGGCCCAGACUCCUACGGGAGGCAGCAGUAGGGAAUCUUCGGCAAUGGACGAAAGUCUGACCGAGCAACGCCGCGUGAGUGAAGAAGGUUUUCGGAUCGUAAAGCUCUGUUGUAAGAGAAGAACGGGUGUGAGAGUGGAAAGUUCACACUGUGACGGUAUCUUACCAGAAAGGGACGGCUAACUACGUG